rnacentral:rRNA from 1 species
UGGGGAAUAUAGCACAAUGGGCGAAAGCCUGAUGCAGCGACGCCGCGUGAGGGAUGACGGCCUUCGGGUUGUAAACCUCUUUCAGUAGGGACGAAGCGCAAGUGACGGUACCUGCAGAAGAAGCACCGGCUAACUACGUGCCAGCAGCCGCGGUAAUACGUAGGGUGCGAGCGUUGUCCGGAAUUACUGGGCGUAAAGAGCUCGUAGGCGGUUUGUCACGUCGUCUGUGAAAUCCUAGGGCUUAACCCUGGACGUGCAGGCGAUACGGGCUGACUUGAGUACUACAGGGGAGACUGGAAUUUCUGGUGUAGCGGUGGAAUGCACAGAUAUCAGGAAGAACACCGAUGGCGAAGGCAGGUCUCUGGGUAGUAACUGACGCUGAGGAGCGAAAGCAUGGGUAGCGAACAGG